ACCCACAGGAGCUGUUGCAAAGUGCACUUUUUGUGCUUAAGGUUUUAAAGCCUAAAAUCUCUGACCUGAAGAGGUUUGGAGAGUAGCUUAGUUUGAAGCCUGCUGUCGUGUAGACACCUGCAAAACAUUGAACUUAACACUGGCACAGCUGGAGGGAGGGAUGGUGUGUAAUGAUGGGUGGCUAUAUUGCUGUGUGGCUGGGUUUCAGUGCCCUGGUUCUCAUAUAGGAAUUAGAGUUAGCUCCUGGCUGACUGGGAGGAGUCAGGCACCUGAUAUUCCCGAAGGACUUCCCCAGGCAUUAUUUCAUGGCAUUUCUCCUUCUGGAUUUCUCCCUGAAAACACUCCACCCGGAAUCAAAAAAGGCUCUGGUCUAGGAAGAGAAAGACAUGACUUUGCUCAUUUAUGCUACCUGGCAGUGUAAAAAAGAGAGAUUUACCCAGUCUUUUGUUCUUGGCAGCUGGUAAUACCACCCCCUACUCACUGCAUGAAAGGGCAUGGCAACAGUUUGUGAAGACUAAUGAACAAGAUCUGUUUUGGGAGUGAUCAUAACCUGAUUUAAUAUAGAGUUAUCAGGCUGCAAGUGUUUACAUUGUAGACAGGAAAGGAGCCCUUUGUCUUUCUGUAUUUGUGUGCGAGUAUGUGAACAGCAUGGAACGAUAUAACUGGCACAUUAAAGAGAAGGCUUUAUCUGCAAAAGAUUCUUUUCUCACUAGGGAUCACUCUGCUUCACUUCAUGGUAGCCUUACAAGAGGAGUUCACAUGUGCGAUGAUGUUAGACAAGGCAGAAGAAGAGCAUUGAUGGAGAAUUUCUAGGCAUUAAAGUGUUGCCUUGCUAGGCAAAUGAAUGAGAAUGAUGAAUUCAGUACUGCACAAGAAGAGGACAGGUCCUGCAUUGAGUAGCUUCCAUGAACAAGGAGACACUGAGCUUCAUCUCAGUAUAUCACUGCCCAGGCUAUGGCCUGGCCAUGGGAGAUGACAAGCAGCUGCUACAAGUGAAGGUGCUGCUAAUUCAACCAUUUUCUUCCAGAAAUGGGAAAAUUGAUCUAUAUUAGGAAAUAUGUUCUUCCUUUCUUCAUGCUUGUGAAAAUGAAGGAUAGUUGUGCCUGCACUACAAGAAGGGUGAUUUAGGUGAACGUGGAAAAACGUCAGUCAGCGUUGCCUUGAGAAGCUUCAUUGCAUUCGGCUAAAGCAGACAUCUUUUGCUGGAAGGAUGUCUCCCCAAGAAAGGUUCAGGCAAAACAGUUCAUCAGACAACAAGAACUUGAUCUUCCCAUUCACCGCAAGCUGGUCCUUGGGCUGGAGAAGUAGCUGCAGGAUACUGCCUGCUGAAGGAGCACAGGAUUUAGGAUCUGUCAGCACCAUGGUACCAAGAAUUUGGGACGCACCAAAGCUUUUCUGUUGCAUCUACUGACCUCCUUUGGGCAAGCACGCAAGGGUCUUCCGCAGAGCCGCCCUCAAGACUACGUGUUGGAGAAUACUGUUGUGGAUUUUCAGUGGAGUGUCCUGGAGAAAAGGAUGAAAAUUCUUAUGAUUUCUCAGACUGGGAGUCGGUUUGAAUUAACCCUAUCUGGGAAGACUGCAACUGGGAUUUUGCACUGGAAAUCUCUUUGUGGAUGCUGUAUUUCAGGAAUACACGGGAGGUAGCAUCUGGUCAUGUUGAAGAAUGCAAAUGAGGACAUCUCCACUGAUGAAUGGCUUGUCAAAUGUGUACCCUAGAAAACAGAAAAAAGUGACCACCUUAUUUUGGAAGCAACAAAAAAUUCAGGGGACAGUCCCAGAGUGUUAUAUGAAUGAGAUCUGUUGCUUGCUGCUUGGCAGACAUUGCUUUUCUCUGAGGACUUAGAAUUCUGUGUACAAGUUUGGGCUCAGAAAGAAAUUCUGUUGAUAACAUUGGUUUGAUAAAGUUGCCUUGAAGCUUUUUAAGCAACUUCAUAGAUCAAUAUGACUUCUCAGAGUCAUCUUGUUCAUCUACUUGUUUGCAAUUGUAUGGCGAAGUACAGGGAUGCUUUACUUUCUAUCACUUGGUCUUGCUUGAGUUGAAGGAACACAGAACAACUUUUUACAGCAUCUCAGUUUUCAUUUUUUUAAAUUAACAUUGAGAGGAAAUGAUGGAGAAUUCAUGGCCUCAGUCAUUCAAGCAGAGACAUUUGGACCAACACCCAGUCGCUCUCCAAGCACAGUUUCCCACUGCUCUAGCAAUCGGCUUAUCUAAGAAGUGAUGCUCACUGCUAAUUUACUGACUACCUUUGGCAGCAGAUGAGCAACUUCCCAUACGCUAUUUGAGGAACAUGCCUUCCUGCAAUCUGGAAAGACCAUAUGUAGGAGAAAGCUGAGUUUCUGUACUCUUGUAGUCUUUGAACUGAGUCCAAGCAGUGCCAAUCUUCCCAAGACUUUUUGUGCUGAGAAGACUUCCCUUCACAGCCAUUAGAAGACAACUGAAAGUAAACUGCUUGGUCACAGCAACGCACUCUCUGAGACGAGAUCUAGAGCUGCUUAGGAGAAUCGAAUCGCUGCCAAAGCCUCGCAGCAUUUGUUUUUUUUUAAAACAAAUUUUCCAACAAUUUGACGUUUCCAUUUCCAGACCUAUUUCCUAGCAGACUGGAUUAACCCUGCAGGCACAGUAGCUCUGUGGAAGCCAGUCACAGGAGCUUCGCAAGUAUUUUGGUUCCUGAGGUCAGGCAGAACCUAGGGAGUGUGGUCCUGGGGUUUGCUAGAGCUCCCUUGAGCCUGAUGAGUAAUUAAUUUUCUUGGAUUUUUGGUUCUGGCAGUGUGGGGAUUUGAGAUCUAUUGGCCCCAUGCUGAAGCAGGCAAAGUCAUCCCAGAAAUCUGGAUUCCCAGUCUUCCCAUAUUCUGUGCAGGAUGGCGAAGUGUGCGUGCAAAUGUAUGAACUGGGGCUUUUCUUUACAUGGAUGAUGUCAAAGUUUGCAACUGGAAGAAACUACAUAUUGAAAAAAAAAAUUUGCUUGUGAAAUCAUGUUGUUUAUAGCUCUAUUCAGGGUAUCAGAAAAUGAAGCCUUUCUGGUUUCAGGAUGGAUGGAAAACAGGUACUUGCAAACCUGUCUGCACCCUCCUAACAGCACCAUCAUACUCUGACCAUUCAGACAGAAGCUCCAUGUGAAUACUCUUCUCUAUUUUGCUCCCUCUCUUAGCUCAUCUUUAAGGCUUUGGAUUCAGAGAUAGAACGUAGACCUAAAAAAAAUAGGCUAAGUUUUGAGAGAGCUCUAAAAUGAACUUUUUUUUCCUUUUUUUUUUUUCUUUUUUCCUUUGUUUUUUCUUUUUUCCUUUGUUUUUUUUUUUCUUUUUUCUUGAGUGUGCUGAAGAUUAUGAUCUUUCUAGCUAACUUCAGCAGGGAGUUUCGUAGAUAUUAGCCUAUUGCUAAUUAAACCCAUAUUUACCACAAGCCUCUGUCUAACAACAGCCAGAUCACCAAGAAUUAGCGCCAGCUUCUUCAGGUAACAUCCCUGCUGUGAUCAUGCAGGGCAAUGUGGUCCUUCCAAGGGAACAGCAAUGCCUGGAAGACUCAUCCUACCCUGUUCUCAAAUAUGAAGACCAAAAAAUAAAACUAAGAAAUGCACUUAGUUCUUCCUAAAUCGGUCACCCUGACUUGUGCCAGGGGGUGUUUGCUGUAGGAAGGUGUUGGCUCCAGCAGCUGUGAAGAAAGCAGCAUUGCACAAGCCAUUGUUUUUAAGUUAAUCUCAGGUAAGAAGUGGGCAGAUAUUCUUGCCCAGCCUCUGCUGGAGGGUGGGUGCAAUAUCCUGGUCCUCUGUCGGUGGGAGAAGGGCCCAUCAAUAAAGAGGCCAGAGAGCAGCUUCCAGUAAUUUUGAGAUCAGGCAUGUGUAAAAGGAGAGAUAAAUGUGAGAGCUGGUGAUACACAGUGAAAGCAAGCCUUUUAAAGUUAUUUCUGGCUCUUCCUUUCACCCUGCUUCCUUGUAAUUUCUCCAGCCAUGUCCAGGCUUAGAUUUAUCCAAUCUCUCUUCUACAUCCAAAUACUUGCAUUUCCCAAGGACUGGCACAGCUACGAGCUGAUGCUGUUUGUAUUUGAUAUAAUAGAGAUAUAGAGCUGAAAGACCUGACAUUUCUGCCAGCUGGGUCUAAGCCUUCUCACUAUCUAUCUUUGCAGCUGCGUGUAGAUGCCAGACUGGAUAGGGAAGGAGAUUUGCUCAUUUUUAUGGUGCAUUGUUGUGUGUUUAUCAGCUGUAGCAAGAAAGAAGGAAAAUUAACUAGAACUGGGUGCUUUCAUUAACUCCAGGCAAAUCUUGGCAUCAUGUUGGUGGUGGCUUGUUUGUUUGUUUGUUUUUUUGUCCCCCCACCCCAUUGUUAAUUAAACCCUCGUGACUGUGUCCUUUGCCUUUGGGAAAACUUUGGAGACGUAGAUCUAAAUACGAGAGCUAAACCCUUCUUAAAAACUAAGUGAGAAUCACAGGGCCAUGGCUGGAGUGUUGUGUAUUUUGGAAAAGAGUUCUUAGCAGUUGAGUUGCUGCCUUCUACGAAAUCCUUCUGGAUUUGUCUGCACUGGCAGGCAGUCGGAAGCCCCCAGGAGUCUCUCCCUAGCUGUCUGCUCUUACCAUCCAUUGUACUGCACAUGGGUACCUGCAGUUGCCCUAGCAAGUCCCAUUUGGAACAUCUUCCUUGCCACCAAGAUGCCCAAAUGGGAUCUGUUGCCUGCUACCUUGAGUGGGUUGUCCUAGCUGACUUAACCAGCACUGCAGAUACUU